UACGUAGGGGGCGAGCGUUGUCCGGAUUCAUUGGGCGUAAAGAGCUCGUAGGCGGCUUGGCAAGUCGGGUGUGAAAACUUCAGGCUCAACCUGGAGCGGCCACUCGAUACUGCCAUGGCUUGAGUCCGGUAGGGGACCACGGAAUUCCUGGUGUAGCAGUGAAAUGCGUAGAGAUCAUGAGGAAGACCAGUGGCGAAGGCGGGUCUCUGGACAGUUCCUGACACUGAGACACGAAGGCCAGGGGAGCAAACGGG
rnacentral:rRNA from 1 species